GACGAACGCUGGCGGCGUGCUUAACACAUGCAAGUCGAACGGAAAGGCCCUGCUUUUGUGGGGUGCUCGAGUGGCGAACGGGUGAGUAACACGUGAGUAACCUGCCCUUGACUUUGGGAUAACUUCAGGAAACUGGGCUAAUACCGGAUAGGAGCUCCUGCUGCAUGGUGGGGGUUGGAAAGUUUCGGCGGUUGGGGAUGGACUCGCGGCUUAUCAGCUUGUUGGUGGGGUAGUGGCUUACCAAGGCUUUGACGGGUAGCCGACCUGAGAGGGUGACCGGCCACAUUGGGACUGAGAUACGGCCCAGACUCCUACGGGAGGCAGCAGUGGGGAAUAUUGCACAAUGGGCGGAAGCCUGAUGCAGCAACGCCGCGUGCGGGAUGACGGCCUUCGGGUUGUAAACCGCUUUCGCCUGUGACGAAGCGUGAGUGACGGUAAUGGGUAAAGAAGCACCGGCUAACUACGUG
rnacentral:rRNA from 1 species